GGAAUGUAAUUGUCGGGCACACGAAGAAUGCGCGAACGCCUGACAAAGACGUUGUUGCGUUACUAUAGAUCCUCUUGUUCUCUGUCGUUCUCUGAUCUCUUCUUCUCUUGUUCAUGACACGUUUCGAUCACGAUGCACAAGACACUCCUUCAAUCACAGGACAUGCAGUUAACACUCUUAUCGACCGUUCGUCACGAAGAAUCCUGUAGGCGGUCCAUGGAAAUUGUUAACACCGCCUUUGCAAUUAAACGAUCAUUUGUCAUGAUAAUUACAGGCCGCGGCAACUUAUGAAUUGUAUUAUAGGUACGUCGUUUUUAUGCUGCUUGAGUUAUAGACUAUUCAAUUGGGGAGUUCGUUUCUAGAUGCAUUGUAGACUGUAGACUGUAGACUGUAGACUGUAGACUGUAGACUGUAGACUGUAGAUUGUAGACUGUAGACUGUAGACUGUAGACUGUAGACUGUAGACUGUGGACUGUAGACUGUAGACUGUAGACGCUGUAGAGGGAGUAAGUUGCGCGCCGAAGUAGAAUAUUUCUGGGCUAGAUCGUCCGAUCUACGUCUGCAGUCUGUAGAUCAGACGUAGAUACAAGUGCUAAUUUUCUUUGUUGGGAGAUAAUGUGUAUUUAAAAGGCUCUAUAAUUGGAAGAUAGUAAGGGAAAAUAGCAAGAGGAAAGAGCGAAGAACAUGUUACAUAUAGUAAGAAUAUAUAGUAUUUCGUCAAAUUUCAGAAACACGAUAUUUAAAAAAAAAAUGGAACCAGUAGAUGCAUUAUUCACACAUUAUUCGAAGAACAAUGUGCUGCUCGUGUGUUUCUGCAAUUGUUACGGCGGAAUCGCGAGGUUCGUGGAAAAUGCACAAUGCGAAUCGGCGAGCGCUCGAGUGGCACGGCCUGCGACCGG